GAGACGACCAGGUUAAUAGGCUGGGGGUGUAAGGCAGGUAACUGUCUCAGCUGACCAGUACUAAUGGACAAUCGGCUUGGCCAU
rnacentral:rRNA from 1 species